AUAAGAGGCGCAGGUUUCAAGAGUAAUUGCAACAAGUCGGAUAUCGGUUGCAACGAAAGGGGAAACUGCCGAAGUGCCGGAAUGAAUCCGUAAAAACCGGUGCUGGGCCUGUAGAGAACAUCUGCAGGACUGUCACAGCAAUGUGGAGUGCUUUC
rnacentral:ncRNA from 1 species